AUUCCACUUGCUUUUGUUUUUUAAGCUAGUUUAUGUUAUUUAUUUUACGUAUACAGGUGCUCUGCUUGAAUGUAUACCUUUAUGCCAGAAGAGGUCAUCAGAUCCCACUGCAGAUGGUUGUGAGUCACCAUGUGGUUGCUGGGAAUUGAACCCAGGACCUGUGGAAGAGCUGCCAGGGCUCCUAACCUCUGAGCCAUCCCCCCAGGACCAGGUCCCACUUGUUUUACAGAAAAAGAACAGAAUAUGGAUAUACAUAUAUAGAAAGAAGGAAAUCCUUUCUAAAAAUUGCCUGGGAAGGCAAGUGUGGUGGUAUGCACCAUAGCAUCCUGGCAGUCGAAGAACUGAAGAGGGAUCAUGUGAAAGACCCCUGCCCCUUAGCCCUUUCUUUCUCAAGUUUGUCUCCUCUUCCUCCUGUCGGCGGCUUCCCCG
rnacentral:lncRNA from 1 species